UACGGGGGGGGGCAAGCGUUUGUUCGGAAUUACUGGGCGUAAAGGGUUUGUAGGUGGCUCGCUAAGUCAGACGUGAAAUCCCUCAGCUUAACUGGGGAACUGCGUCUGAAAACUGAUGAGCUUGAGUGCAGGAGAGGAACGCGGAAUUCCAGGUGUAGCGGUGAAAUGCGUAGAUAUCUGGAGGAACACCGGUGGCGAAGGCGGCCAAUCUGGACCGCAACUGACGCUGAGGCGCGGAAAGCGAUGGGGAGCAAACAGGGGAUUAAGAAACCCGGAUGUAACGUC
rnacentral:rRNA from 1 species